rnacentral:rRNA from 1 species
AGCUUGCUACUUUGCCGGCGAGCGGCGGACGGGUGAGUAAUGUCUGGGAAACUGCCUGAUGGAGGGGGAUAACUACUGGAAACGGUAGCUAAUACCGCAUGACCUCGAAAGAGCAAAGUGGGGGAUCUUCGGACCUCNCGCCAUCGGAUGUGCCCAGAUGGGAUUAGCUAGUAGGUGAGGUAAUGGCUCACCUAGGCGACGAUCCCUAGCUGGUCUGAGAGGAUGACCAGCCACACUGGAACUGAGACACGGUCCAGACUCCUACGGGAGGCAGCAGUGGGGAAUAUUGCACAAUGGGCGCAAGCCUGAUGCAGCCAUGCCGCGUGUGUGAAGAAGGCCUUAGGGUUGUAAAGCACUUUCAGCGAGGAGGAAGGCAUCAUACUUAAUACGUGUGGUGAUUGACGUUACUCGCAGAAGAAGCACCGGCUAACUCCGUGCCAGCAGCCGCGGUAAUACGGAGGGUGCAAGCGUUAAUCGGAAUUACUGGGCGUAAAGCGCACGCAGGCGGUUUGUUAAGUCAGAUGUGAAAUCCCCGAGCUUAACUUGGGAACUGCAUUUGAAACUGGCAAGCUAGAGUCUUGUAGAGGGGGGUAGAAUUCCAGGUGUAGCGGUGAAAUGCGUAGAGAUCUGGAGGAAUACCGGUGGCGAAGGCGG